CUACGGGAGGCAGCAGUGAGGAAUAUUGGUCAAUGGGCGGAAGCCUGAACCAGCCAAGUCGCGUGAGGGAAGAAGGCCCUGCGGGUCGCAGACCUCUUUGGCCGGGGAGCAAGGCCGCCGACGUGUCGGCGGAAGGAGAGUACCCGAAGAAAAAGCAUCGGCUAACUCCGUGCCAGCAGCCGCGGUAAUACGGAGGAUGCGAGCGUUAUCCGGAUUUAUUGGGUUUAAAGGGUGCGCAGGCGGACCAUCAAGUCAGCGGUAAAAUCGUGGGGCCCAACCCCAUCCCGCCGUUGAAACUGGCGGUC
rnacentral:rRNA from 1 species